rnacentral:lncRNA from 1 species
UGGGAUAAAACCACAAACUUCUGCUAAGGAAGGAAUGAGGAGACCCAACCCAGCCCAGAGUGGGCAGGCCCCAGGCACCCAGCACCAGCUCAGCCAGUCUGCACGGGGCACUCCGCCUGCACCUCCUCCCACCCUGGGAAAGAGCCAGCAGCGCUUCCGGCACUUGGGUUUCCAUGGCAACCAGUCACCCUGUGUGAUGAGACGCAAAAGCCACAGGCAGUGAGUGGAACAUUCCUGAAUCUGAAGCCCUCAUUACAGGUCAAUAGAGAAAAAGAAUGUUCCAGAGCCUUCUUCAGCCUGGAAGCUUCUGGCAGGUUCCAGUCACUCUGUGGGCAGUACCAGCUGCAAUCUUGCCACCAGGCCCCACCCACUCUGCACUGCACCACCCCUGGCAUCCCACAGCCUCUGCAGGGGGCACCCCAGGCACCUCCAGGCCACUGGCCCCUGCAUCUUCCGGACCAGUAGAACCAAAUUUCUGUUCCGUGUACUUCUGUUCCGUGUCCCGUUUCCUUGUUCUGGUUACAUGCAUGUCACAAAGUUAUAUCUGUGGCAGCUAGCUGUGUAGCCUGGGGCUGAAUUAAUAAGGAGUACAUUGUAGAAUCAAGUUAAUGACUGCAACUCUAAGACAGGUGGCUUGGGAGUCAGACAGAACCAAGUUCAAAUCCUGACUUAUUCGCUCUGUGUCUUUAGGCAGUGACUCCUCAGACCCUCCGUGCCCUCUGCUCACCCUUCCUCCUGUCUCACCCCUCUGCGGUUCACAGCCCCUCUUCCCUCAGGCCCCUCUUGUUCACACUUAUCUCCUGUUCAUGUGCCCCUCUCCUCCUUCGACCCCACUCCCAGGCCACACGCCUCUCACGCCCACACCUAGGGCAGGUUCCCCACUGUCUCCAGAUUGAUACUGGUCAGUUACCUCAGG